rnacentral:rRNA from 1 species
GAUGAACGCUGGCGGCGUGCCUAAUACAUGCAAGUCGAGCGAACAGACGAGGAGCUUGCUCCUCUGACGUUAGCGGCGGACGGGUGAGUAACACGUGGAUAACCUACCUAUAAGACUGGGAUAACUUCGGGAAACCGGAGCUAAUACCGGAUAAUAUAUUGAACCGCAUGGUUCAAUAGUGAAAGACGGUUUUGCUGUCACUUAUAGAUGGAUCCGCGCCGCAUUAGCUAGUUGGUAAGGUAACGGCUUACCAAGGCGACGAUGCGUAGCCGACCUGAGAGGGUGAUCGGCCACACUGGAACUGGGCCACGGUCCAGACUCCUACGGGAGGCAGCAGUAGGGAAUCUUCCGCAAUGGGCGAAAGCCUGACGGAGCAACGCCGCGUGAGUGAUGAAGGUCUUCGGAUCGUAAAACUCUGUUAUUAGGGAAGAACAAAUGUGUAAGUAACUAUGCACGUAUUGACGGUACCUAAUCAGAAAGCCACGGCUAACUACGUG